AUUGAACGCUGGCGGCAGGCCUAACACAUGCAAGUCGAGCGGAUGAGAGGAGCUUGCUCCUGGAUUCAGCGGCGGACGGGUGAGUAAUGCCUAGGAAUCUGCCUGGUAGUGGGGGACAACGUUUCGAAAGGAACGCUAAUACCGCAUACGUCCUACGGGAGAAAGCAGGGGACCUUCGGGCCUUGCGCUAUCAGAUGAGCCUAGGUCGGAUUAGCUAGUUGGUGAGGUAAUGGCUCACCAAGGCGACGAUCCGUAACUGGUCUGAGAGGAUGAUCAGUCACACUGGAACUGAGACACGGUCCAGACUCCUACGGGAGGCAGCAGUGGGGAAUAUUGGACAAUGGGCGAAAGCCUGAUCCAGCCAUGCCGCGUGUGUGAAGAAGGUCUUCGGAUUGUAAAGCACUUUAAGUUGGGAGGAAGGGUUGUAGAUUAAUACUCUGCAAUUUUGACGUUACCGACAGAAUAAGCACCGGCUAACUCUGUGCCAGCAGCCGCGGUAAUACAGAGGGUGCAAGCGUUAAUCGGAAUUACUGGGCGUAAAGCGCGCGUAGGUGGUUUGUUAAAGUUGGAUGUGAAAUCCCCGGGCUCAACCUGGGAACUGCAUCCAAAACUGGGCUGCUAGUGUAUGGGGAGGGUGGUGGUUUUUUUCUUUUGAAUCGUUUAUUCACUAUAAAGCCAUCGUAAGUCCCAAGCUCUAAUGUCAUUGUUU
rnacentral:rRNA from 1 species